GGAUAAACAUACAGAACAUAUAACUUAACAGCAAAAAUAACACACAAUUUAGUAAUACGCAAGAGACCUUAAGUGACAUUUCUCCAAAGAAGACAUACAAAUGGCCAAGUACUGCAAAGAUGCUCAAGAUUAUUAUUAGAAAAAUGCAAAUCAGUCACAAUAAGAUACCAAACCACUCCAGUUAAAAUGACUAUAAUCAGAAAUGAUACGUGCCUGGCCCUUUCAACAGAAGGCAUUGUGACAUAUCUCUGGUCCUAUCAUUUAUGUGACAUGACUCUCCUCUUCUGCCUGGACACUGCCCACAAGGGGCAUUGUGCCAUACAGUUGGGCAUAGCCCCGAAGUUAUGUUACUUUUCUGCCAGGAACUUGCCUACAAGGAGAACAUCAGAACAUUUCUGCCUCAGCAUAUAGGUUAUAUGGCUGUCAUGCCUUUCAUUACCACAGAGGCUAUGUUUCAAGGAGGGCAUUGUGACAUAUCUCUGGACCUAUCACCGAGGUGAUAUGAUUCAACGCUUGGGCCUCACCGACGUAGAACAUUGUGACAUAAAAGUUAAACCUGCACCAAAGGUGUUGUAACUCUUUCACCUUGGUCCUGUCCUAAGGGAGCCCUGCAACAUAUCUCAGGACCCAGCACUCAGGAACAUUGUGACAUCGUUGGACAUAGCAUCUAGGAAAUGUGACUCUUCUCUCCUGCCUAGGUCCUGCCCACUAAAGGAAUUGUGACAUACCACUGAGUGCAAAACCUAGCCCUGUCUACAGUGGACAUGGUACCACAUGACUUGAGGCUGUAUCCAGGUGAUGUGACUCUUCUGACUUGGCCCUGCCUGCAAAGGAAAUUAUAAUAUAUCCUGAGCUCAGAAUCCAGGCGAUGAGACUCUCCUGCCUCUUUUCUGCCCACAAGUGAAAUUGUGACUUAUACCUGCGUUCAGCUCACAUGCACAAAUAUAACUAUUAUACCUGGACCCAGAAAGGAGAGAUAUUUGGACUCUUAUAGCCAGUCCUAUGGCCAUAAGUAAAGUAAAGGGUCCCCUGUUUGUAUAAAGCUCACAGAGGAUUAUGACACUCAGGCACAUCAUAUAAAGCCUGAGUGGUACAAAGAGUGUCAUAGCAGGGAACAGCAACCAGGUGCGAUUGUGACUCUUGGAUGCUCACCCAGCUGACCCGAUUGUCAUUCUCUCACAAGAACAGGGCCUACAUACAAGUUUUUCCAUAAAUUCUUCCCUGAGCCUUGAAGUGAGCCUCUGGUGGUCCAGUGAUCAUUACCAUCCUCACUUUAGCAUCUGGUGCUUCUGCUGGAGCAAUGUUAAUUGAAGCUCCGGCAAAGCGAGAAAGCUGCUUGAUGUGCUUGGCCCUGCUUGCCGAUGAUGACACCGACUGAUAGAGCCUGGAUAAACAGAUGAACAGUCUCCGUUUCUGAUUGCUCAAACUGCGGCUUUGGCACAUGCCUCAACAUUGCCUUUAACUGUAAUGGUGCGUUCUGGAUUAUACAGCGUCAAUUCCUGAAAGCACCUUGAUGGCCUUGAGGGCCCAGCUCUCCUCUGGGCAGUCCAUGAACGCAUAGCCAGUCUUCACCAGGAAGGAUCCCAACACUGGGAUCUUGGCGUCCUUGAAGAUACUUUCUAGGUCCAAGGGGACGGCGUUCUCGUGGAGGUUUCCGAUAUACAGUUUGUUCAUUGUGAAGAAUGGUUGUUUAAAAAAAUUAACGAGAAGAACGAGAAAUUAAAACCACCCAUGGUGAUGGAUGGAUCCAGCUGGUUUUGUUGCUCUCAUCUUCUCACCUUUAAAAUACACAAACACAGAAAGAACCAAGCACAAGAACAAGGAGUGAAAAAUCAGAUCCGAGGCUUGUUUUUCCUUGUCCUAGAUAUGUUUUAAAAGAGAAAGAAAAGAAAAAGCCUAGCUACAACCCAAAUGCAUCAACCAGUCUUCCUAAGUCUCGCUUUUGAAUAAUUUUCAAAUGAGAUGUACACCUAAAUUUUAAGAGUGUUUGAGUUUGUGUUUGCUUUAGUGGUGCUUUAUAUCUGUCUGAUUGUAAGCAUAAUGUUCAUGGAAAGAGACUUUUGGUAGGAAUCAAACUGGGACUCUUACAAUGGCUUAAGUCCAUCAGAAUAGUUCUGAUGCUACUUAGGAGCAUCAGAACUCCUUUCUUUGCCUGAUUUUUCAACUUAUUUCUUAAUUGGAACCCCAUAAAGAACAUGAAUGGUCUUCUGAUAUCCUUAAUGUCUUAGAGUUAUAUCAAUAUUUUGCUUACCAGUAAUCUGUAUGAAAAUAAAGUUUAUUUAGUAAACAAAAGUUGCUGUGUAUCUACUGUAUGCUAAGAUCUUCACUAGAUCUGUGGGUGCCAAAGAAAAAGAUUUACCCCUUUUACAAAGAGUGAA
rnacentral:lncRNA from 1 species